GAUUGGUAAUGAAGACUUCAUGCAAGUUUUUAGUCAUGAAGAAAUCGGCGUCACCGUUGUCAAUACAUAUAUUAGGUUUUUGUAUGACAAAUUGAUGCGCCCCAAUGGUUUGGACGUGUCAUUCGGAUUCUUAGCACCCACGACCGUCAACUUAGGUUUAAUCUUAAGUAGACCGGAUACCGUGACGGAGUACGUUCUUCGGAUCCUCAUGGACAAUAAAGAUGCGGAGAAGUUGUUUUUUAUACCGUUUAAUACCGGUGGACAUUGGUUGUUGCUCGCAAUCAAUCCUAUCCGAG